UACGGGGGGGAGCAAGCGUUGUUCGGAUUUACUGGGCGUAAAGGGCGCGUAGGCGGCCACCGCAAGUCGGUUGUGAAAUCUCUGGGCUUAACUCCGAAACUGCAUUCGAUACUGCCUGGCUAGGGUACUGGAGAGGAGACUGGAAUUUACGGUGUAGCAGUGAAAUGCGUAGAUAUCGUAAGGAAGACCAGUGGCGAAGGCGAGUCUCUGGACAGUUACCGACGCUGAGGCACGAAGGUCAGGGGAGCAAACGGGG
rnacentral:rRNA from 1 species